GAUGAACGCUGGCGGCGUGCUUAACACAUGCAAGUCGAACGAAGCAUUUAGGACAGAUUACUUCGGUUUGAAGUUCUUUAUGACUGAGUGGCGGACGGGUGAGUAACGCGUGGGUAACCUGCCUUGUACUGGGGGAUAGCAGCUGGAAACGGCUGGUAAUACCGCAUAAGCGCACAAUGUUGCAUGACAUGGUGUGAAAAACUCCGGUGGUAUAAGAUGGACCCGCGUCUGAUUAGCUAGUUGGUGAGAUAACAGCCCACCAAGGCGACGAUCAGUAGCCGACAUGAGAGGGUGACCGGCCACAUUGGGACUGAGACACGGCCCAGACUCCUACGGGAGGCAGCAGUGGGGAAUAUUGCACAAUGGAGGAAACUCUGAUGCAGCGACGCCGCGUGAGUGAAGAAGUAAUUCGUUAUGUAAAGCUCUAUCAGCAGGGAAGAUAGUGACGGUACCUGACUAAGAAGCUCCGGCUAAAUACGUG
rnacentral:rRNA from 1 species